rnacentral:tRNA from 1 species
CAAGUUAAAGCUUUUAGAGCAUUUUAUUUACAUUAAAAAGAUAGUUGUUAUACAAUUUGACUUGA